rnacentral:rRNA from 1 species
CUUUUCCCCCUUUUUUCAUCAUUAUUCAAUAUUUCUCAAUGUUUUAAACCCUUAAGCAUCAACUCCGCUUGGAGUAUGAAUGUUUUCGGAUUGUAAACUCCUUUUUUUAUAUAAGAUAAUGACGGUAUCUAACGAAUAAGCACCGGCUAACUCCGUGCCAGCAGCCGCGGUAAUACGGAGGGUGCAAGCGUUACUCGGAAUCACUGGGCGUAAAGAGCGCGUAGGCGGGAUAGCAAGUCAGAUGUGAAAUCCUAUGGCUUAACCAUAGAACUGCAUUUGAAACUGUUAUUCUAGAGUAUGGGAGG